UACGUAGGUGGCAAGCGUUAUCCGGAAUUAUUGGGCGUAAAGCGCGCGCAGGUGGUUUCUUAAGUCUGAUGUGAAAGCCCACGGCUCAACCGUGGAGGGUCAUUGGAAACUGGGAGACUUGAGUGCAGAAGAGGAAAGUGGAAUUCCAUGUGUAGCGGUGAAAUGCGUAGAGAUAUGGAGGAACACCAGUGGCGAAGGCGGCCCGCUGGGCAGUGGCUGACGCUGAGGCGCGACAGCGUGGGGAGCAAACAGG
rnacentral:rRNA from 1 species